AUUGAACGCUGGCGGCAGGCCUAACACAUGCAAGUCGAGCGGAUGAAGGGAGCUUGCUCCUGGAUUCAGCGGCGGACGGGUGAGUAAUGCCUAGGAAUCUGCCUGGUAGUGGGGGAUAACGUCCGGAAACGGGCGCUAAUACCGCAUACGUCCUGAGGGAGAAAGUGGGGGAUCUUCGGACCUCACGCUAUCAGAUGAGCCUAGGUCGGAUUAGCUAGUUGGUGGGGUAAAGGCCUACCAAGGCGACGAUCCGUAACUGGUCUGAGAGGAUGAUCAGUCAAACGGGAAUUGAAAAAGGGACCAAACCCUAAGGGAGGGAACAGGGGGGGAAUUUGGGAAAAGGGGGGAAAGCUGAACCCAGCCAGGCCGGGGGUGGAAAAAAGGUUUUGGGAUUGAAAAACAUUUUAAGGGGGGAGAAAGGGAAGUAAGUUAAAACCUGGGUGUUUUAACGUAACCAAAAAAAAAACCCCGGCCAAAUUCGUG
rnacentral:rRNA from 1 species